rnacentral:rRNA from 1 species
GUGUCAGCCGCCGCGGUAAUACGAAGGGGGCUAGCGUUGCUCGGAAUUACUGGGCGUAAAGGGCGCGUAGGCGGCUCGACCAGUCAGGCGUGAAAUUCCUGGGCUUAACCUGGGGACUGCGCUUGAUACUGUUGGGCUUGAGGCCGAGAGAGGGUGGUGGAAUUCCCAGUGUAGAGGUGAAAUUCGUAGAUAUUGGGAAGAACACCGGUGGCGAAGGCGACCACCUGGCUCGGUACUGACGCUGAGGCGCGGCAGCGUGGGGAGCAAACAGGAUUAGAUACCCUGGUAGUCCACGCCGUAAACGAUGUGUGCUGGAUGUUGGGGCUCCUAGAGUCUCAGUGUCGUAGCUAACGCGGUAAGCACACCGCCUGGGUAGUACGGCCGCAAGGUUAAAACUUAAAGGAAUUGGCGG